UACGGAGGGGGCUAGCGUUGUUCGGAAUUACUGGGCGUAAAGCGCACGUAGGCGGCUUUGCAAGUUAGAGGUGAAAGCCCGGGGCUCAACUCCGGAAUUGCCUUUAAAACUGCAUCGCUAGAAUUGUGGAGAGGUAAGUGGAAUUCCGAGUGUAGAGGUGAAAUUCGUAGAUAUUCGGAGGAACACCGAUGGCGAAGGCAAUCCCCUGGGCCUGCACUGACGCUCAUGCACGAAAGCGUGGGGAGCAAACAGG
rnacentral:rRNA from 1 species